GGAGGGCUGUCCGAGCGGCCGAAGGAUCCAGUCUUGAAAACUGGUGGGCAGCAAUGCCCCGUGGGUUCGAAUCCCACGCCCUCCG
rnacentral:tRNA from 1 species